rnacentral:rRNA from 1 species
CGGGAGGCAGCAGUUGGGAAUCUUGGACAAUGGGGGAAACCCUGAUCCAGCCAUGCCGCGUGAGUGAUGAAGGCCUUCGGGUUGUAAAGCUCUUUUACCCGGGAAGAUAAUGACUGUACCGGGAGAAUAAGCUCCGGCUAACUUCGUGCCAGCAGCCGCGGUAAUACGAAGGGGGCUAGCGUUGUUCGGAAUUACUGGGCGUAAAGCGCGCGCAGGCGGUUUCUCAAGUCAGUGGUGAAAGCCCGGAGCUCAACUCCGGAACUGCCAUUGAAACUGUGAAACUUGAGGACGAGAGAGGUGAGUGGAAUUCCCAGUGUAGAGGUGAAAUUCGUAGAUAUUGGGAAGAACACCGGUGGCGAAGGCGGCUCACUGGCUCGUUUCUGACGCUCAGGCGCGACAGCGUGGGGAUCAAACAGGAUUAGAUACCCUGGUAGUCCACGCCGUAAACGAUGAACGCUAGCCGUUGGAUAGCUUGCUAUUCAGUGGCGCAGCUAACGCAUUAAGCGUUCCGCCUGGGGAGUACGGCCGCAAGGUUGAAACUCAAAGGAAUUGACG